rnacentral:rRNA from 1 species
UACGUAGGGGGCUAGCGUUGUCCGGAAUCAUUGGGCGUAAAGAGCGUGUAGGCGGUCCGGUAAGUCCGCUGUGAAAGUCGGGGGCUCAACCCUCGAAUGCCGGUGGAUACUGUCGGGCUAGAGUGCGGAAGAGGCGAGUGGAAUUCCGGGUGUAGCGGUGGAAUGCGUAGAGAUCAGGAAGAACACCGGUGGCGAAAGCGCUCUGCUGGACCUUAACUGACACUGAGGGACGAAAGCUAGGGGAGCGAAUGGG